ACCUUCUUAUAGUGCUUUCAAAAAUGGUAAUAAUUAGGAAAAGUUAAAAAUGUAUGUCUGAUCUCAGAAGCUAAGGAGAGUCAGGCCUGGUUAGUACUUGAAUGGGAGACCACCUAGGAAGACCAAGUGUUGUAGGCG
ensembl:rRNA 5S_rRNA 5S ribosomal RNA